rnacentral:sRNA from 1 species
CAAUUGCUUGUUGAGGAGAGAUGAAGUGAACGUGUGUAUCAAUUGUACCAGGAGUACAAAUUGUAUGUUCUCCUGCAAUAACUUCUGUACUUGAUCCUAUUAUCAUAUCUAUGUCAUCCAUAAUAUCCGGAUUUCCUGCGUUUCCAACACCAACAAUCUUACCCUCUUUUAUGCCGAUGUCUGCUUUGAUAAUACCCAAAAUUGGAUCCAUAACUAUUGCGUUAGUAAUUACAAGAUCCAAAGCUUCUUUGCAUGGAACACCACUUGCUUGACCGCAACCAUCCCUUG